CCCCAGCGAAGGGAAACAAAACAAAACGCCGGCACCGCCGCGCUCUCCCUCCUUCUCCUCCUGGCAUUUGGUGGUGGUUUUUUUUUCUUGGGGACUCUCCUUUCUCCUGCCAGACUGACUUGCACCUUCUCGAUUAUUUCUCUUCCCCUCGUUUUUUUAUACUCUUCUCCCUGCUUCCAAACCCUGUGUCUGUGUGUUUUAAUACUAUCACAACCUCUGCUAAAAAUAGAUCUUUUUAUAUACCCUUCCUCCUCUCUGAUCCCAUCCAACACCCCUUGUUAAGGAAACCAUCUUAAGCCCUGAGCAAGAAACGUAAGUUCAUUUGAUUGUCCCUUCUCUCUACGGGACCUGAUGUGUGAGUGGACUAGGGAAAGGAGAUUAAGAAAAACUCCAAGGACCUACAGAUCAUCUUGC
rnacentral:lncRNA from 1 species